ACUGUAUACAGUAACAGGACAGUAUGGAGAUGAGGAAACAGACAAGUAUGCUUCCAAGAUUCAGAAGGCGGUUCGAUCGUUUAAGUUCACAUAAACAAAAUGUUCAUGACAGGAGAGAAAUUUUUUUCGUUACAGGAUGUCUUCAUGACAUGAUUUAUGAGCUAGAAAUGUCUGUCUAAAUCCUAUUAGUAUGAUAUUUACUUCAAUACUGAUAGACCAAAGCAGUAUAAAUGAAUGACACUAAUUGAUGUAAUGGACAAAGAUAUUUUGCAGUGAACAUCAGUGCCUUUGGUUAAA